rnacentral:rRNA from 1 species
UGCAAGUCAACGGCAGCGCGGGGCAACCUGGCGGCGAGUGGCGAACGGGUGAGUAAUACAUCGGAACGUGCCCUGUGAUGGGGGAUAACUACGCGAAAGCGUAGCUAAUACCGCAUACGACCUAAGGGUGAAAGUGGGGGAUCGAAAGACCUCACGUCAUAGGAGCGGCCGAUGGCGGAUUAGCUAGUUGGUGAGGUAAAGGCUUACCAAGGCGACGAUCCGUAGCUGGUCUGAGAGGACGACCAGCCACACUGGGACUGAGACACGGCCCAGACUCCUACGGGAGGCAGCAGUGGGGAAUCUUGGACAAUGGGGGCAACCCUGAUCCAGCAAUGCCGCGUGUGGGAUGAAGGCCUUCGGGUUGUAAACCACUUUUGGCGGGGGCGAAAUAUCGAGUGAUAAUACCAUUCGGUGAUGACGGUACCCGCAGAAUAAGCACCGGCUAACUACGUGCCAGCAGCCCGGGUAAUACA